rnacentral:tRNA from 1 species
GGGGAGGUUCCAGAGCGGUCAAAAGGGGCGGACUGUAAAUCCGUUGGCGAAGCCUUCGCAGGUUCGAAUCCUGCCCUCCCCA